rnacentral:siRNA from 1 species
UUUGGUGUCUAGAUACAACCGA